GUAGACAUAGUGCCCUACUAGGGUUGUUAAGUGCUUUGGGAGCACUAGGUCGCAGGUUCGAAUCCUGUCGCCC
rnacentral:tRNA from 1 species